UUACGGAGCCUCCAUCAAUUCAACCAAUCUUGCCGGCAACAAGUACAUCAACUUUUCUCUUCUCGGCUUAGCAGAAGUCCCGGGCUACAUCCUUAUCUUUUUCACCAUGACGUGGUGGGGUCGUCGCCCAUCGUUGAGUCUAUUCUUCUUCAUUGCUGGUGCCGCUAGUUUCACAACUGCAUUUUUGCCCGCAAAGUCUGAACACGGCACCGAUUUAACGGU